GACGAACGCUUGUUGCGUGCUUAACACAUGCAAGUCGAACGGAAAGGCCCUGCUUCUGUGGGGUGCUCGAGUGGCGAACGGGUGAGUAACACGUGAGUAACCUGCCCUUGACUUUGGGAUAACUUCAGGAAACUGGGGCUAAUACCGGAUAGGAGCUCCUGCAGCAUGGUGGGGGUUGGAAAGUUUCGGCGGCUGGGGAUGGACUCGCGGCUUAUCAGCUUGUUGGUGGGGUAGUGGCUUACCAAGGCUUUGACGGGUAGCCGGCCUGAGAGGGUGACCGGCCACAUUGGGACUGAGAUACGGCCCAGACUCCUACGGGAGGCAGCAGUGGGGAAUAUUGCACAAUGGGCGGAAGCCUGAUGCAGCAACGCCGCGUGCGGGAUGACGGCCUUCGGGUUGUAAACCGCUUUCGCCUGUGACGAAGCGUGAGUGACGGUAAUGGGUAAAGAAGCACCGGCUAACUACGUGCCAGCAGCCGCGGUGAUACGUAGGGUGCGAGCGUUGUCCGGAUUUAUUGGGCGUAAAGGGCUCGUAGGUGGUUGAUCGCGUCGGAAGUGUAAUCUUGGGGCUUAACCCUGAGCGUGCUUUCGAUACGGGUUGACUUGAGGAAGGUAGGGGAGAAUGGAAUUCCUGGUGGAGCGGUGGAAUGCGCAGAUAUCAGGAGGAACACCAGUGGCGAAGGCGGUUCUCUGGGCCUUUCCUGACGCUGAGGAGCGAAAGCGUGGGGAGCGAACAGGCUUAGAUACCCUGGUAGUCCACGCUGUAAACGGUGGGUACUAGGUGUGGGGUCCAUUCCACGGGUUCCGUGCCGUAGCUAACGCUUUAAGUACCCCGCCUGGGGAGUACGGCCGCAAGGCUAAAACUCAAAGGAAUUGACGGGGCCCCGCACAAGCGGCGGAGCAUGCGGAUUAAUUCGAUGCAACGCGUAGAACCUUACCUGGGUUUGACAUGGAUCGGGAGUGCUCAGAGAUGGGUGUGCCUCUUUCGGGGUCGGUUCACAGGUGGUGCAUGCCUGUCGUCAGCUCGUGUCGUGAGAUGUUGGGUUAAGUCCCGCAACGAGCGCAACCCUUGUUCACUGUUGCCAGCACGUUAUGGUGGGGACUCAGUGGAGACCGCCGGGGUCAACUCGGAGGAAGGUGGGGAUGACGUCAAGUCCUCAUGCCCCUUAUGUCCAGGGCUUCACGCAUGCUACAAUGGCUGGUACAGAGAGUGGCGAGCCUGUGAGGGUGAGCGAAUCUCGGAAAGCCGGUCUCAGUUCGGAUUGGGGUCUGCAACUCGACCUCAUGAAGUCGGAGUCGCUAGUAAUCGCAGAUCAGCAACGCUGCGGUGAAUACGUUCCCGGGGCU
rnacentral:rRNA from 1 species